GAUGAAGAACGUAGCGAAAUGCGAUACUUGGUGUGAAUUGCAGAAUCCCGUCAACCAUCGAGUCUUUGAACGCAAGUUGCGCCCGAAGCCACUAGGCCGAGGGCACGCCUGCCUGGGCGUCACACGCCGUUGCCCCCCCAUCUACUCCUUCGGGAUUGCGGGGGGGCGGAUGAUGGCCUCCCGUGCGCCUAGCCGCGCGGUUGGCAUAAAUACCAAGUCCUCGGCGACGCACGCCACGACAAUCGGUGGUUGCGAAACCUCGGUUGCCCGUCGUGUGCGUUCGUCGCGCAUCGAGGGCUCGAAAAAAUGCUCGGCUCCGGCUGGGCUUUCAACGCGACCCCAGGUCAGGCGGGGUUACCCGCUGAAUUUAAGCAUAUCAAUAAGCGGAGGA
rnacentral:misc_RNA from 1 species